AUGCAGCUUGUGGCUGAGCUCCUCCUCCGCCUUGAGCACGGCGAGCCAUGUGACGAUCUCCCUGGCGGUCAUCUUGUCCUGCAGGCACUUGGACUGCCGCACGAGGCGGCGGACCUUGUCGACGUCGGGCGACAUGUGCUUGAUGACGGCGGUGAGCACGGCGACCUUCCACGCCUUCUUGAGGUCGUGCGGCUUCUUGUACGGCGGCGGGCCGAGGUCGUCGGGCACGCCGGCCUCCGGCCACCACGCCUCGGACGGUCCCUGCGGCCACCACGGCGGCGGCACGCCCUUCUCGAGCGGGAACCGGCGCUGCGGCGGGUCGCAGUGCUGCAUGAGCGACGAGAGCAGGGAGCCGAGCGUGGUGUCCUGCAGCUCGUGCAGGGAGCGCGGGCCGGCCGCCGCCCCCGCUCCGUCUUCCCCGCCGCAGAGCGGCGCGGCGUUGUCGGACCGGUGCUUGGCGAUGGCCGCGGGGGCGUUGCGGUCGAAGCGGACCUUCUCCUUCCACCAGGCGCGGAGGUUGUCGGAGGCGCCGCCCACGGGCUUGCCGUUCUCGGGGACGAUGCCGUAGACGAAGCCCUGCGCGCUGCACGCCUCCAUCAUCUUGAGCAUGUACUUGAGGAUCCCGUCCUGCGCGCGCGACAUCUUCUUGCGCCGCGCCUGCUGGUCCUGCUGCGACGGCGGCCGCCUCGGCCGCCCCUUGCUCGCCGCCGCGCCGCCGUCGGGCCUCUGGCUCUGCCGCUGCUGCAGCUCCUUGAGGCGCUUGAGCCUCAUGCGGUCGCGCCACAUGCGGCGCUCCAGCUCCUCGAUGCCGUCCACGUCGUCGUCGUCGUCCUCCUCCUCGCUCUCCUCCUCGUCGGGGAACCUGUCCCGCGCCCGCUGCUCCGGCGCGGGGUCCGCGAGGUCGCCCGCCCCCACGAAGCAGCCGGCUCCAAAGAACCCGAAGCCCUUCUCGACGUCGCCGUCGGCGGGGAACGCCAUGCGCCGAUCCAUCAUCGCCACCCCUCCUCCCAUCAUCUCCACCGCUCACCCCGCACACCGACGACCCCGAAGCAAGCAAUCAAGCAACCCCUCCCUCACUCCUCAGCAAGGCUCGCAGCACCGAAGUCUAUAUAG
rnacentral:rRNA from 1 species